GAAAUUACAAAUAAAAUAACGUGGCCAAUUAAUAGGAGAAUCAAACAGCCAAUUAGCAGUUAACCGUAAAAUUUCCACUUUUCCAUUGAAACCUCUCUUCAAUUAUCGCUUUGCCCUUUUUGCUUCUUUGAUCUAUCGAUCGUCUGAUCAACCUUUAAUUGGUGUUUUCAAACUGAGCAUUUUUGUGCCUUUUAUGUUUAAAGGCGACAAUCAAGGAAGAAGUUGAUAUUUGGAUGAUAAAAAGAAUUUCGACUUCGUUGGGAUAGUUGUUCGCUCCUGUAAUUCACUUUUCUCUCGGUGUGUGAUGAUUCAGAAGAUCCAAGCAUGAAAGAUGCAUCUGUUUUUGUCUAAUUUUAUAUAGUAUGUAAAUGUAUGUAAUUAGUAUUCCCACAAAUGAAAAUGUUAAACUAUGUAAGUAUCUCACUUGGACAUUCAGUAGUAUGACAUUCACAUAAAAAUAUAUUAUGAACAAAUUUGGCAGCUAUAAUGUGUUCGAUUCA